rnacentral:rRNA from 1 species
AUGGCGUCGUCCGCGGAUCCGUGGGUGCGGGAGUACGGCGAGGCGGCGCGCCUGGCGGACGACGUCGCCGCCAUGGUCGCCGACCGGGCGGCGCUCCCGCAGUCCGGCCCGGAGGUCAUGCGCCACACCUCCGCCAUUCGCCGGAAGAUCACCAUCCUCGGGACCAGGCUGGACAGCCUCGAGGGGAUGCUCGCCAGGCUUCCCCCCAAAUCCAUCACGGACAAGGAGCUGAAUAAGCACCGAGACACGCUUUCAAAUUUGAAAUCUAGAGCAAAACAGAUGGCAGAAAGUUUCAACAUGUCGACCUUUGCCAACAGGGAGGAUUUGCUUGGUCAGAGCAAGAAAGCUGCUGAUGACAUGAACAGAGUAGCCGGGUUGGAUAACCAAGGGAUUGUUGGCCUUCAGAGGCAAAUCAUGAAAGAACAAGAUGAGGGUCUUGAGAAGCUGGAACAGACCGUGCUGAGCACAAAACAUAUUGCGUUAGCAGUCAAUGAGGAACUUGACCUGCACGCAAGACUGAUUGAUGACCUAGAUGAUCAUGUGGAUGGUACAAACUCGCGCCUUCAGCGUGUGCAAAAGAGGCUUGCGGUUCUGAACAAGCGCGCCAAGGGCGGCUGCUCCUGCAUGUCCCUGCUGCUGUCCACCGUCGGUAUAGUGAUGCUUGUGGUUAUUGUCUGGCUCCUCAUCAAGUAUCUGUAA